CCUACGGGUGGCAGCAGUGAGGAAUAUUGGUCAAUGGGCGGAAGCCUGAACCAGCCAAGUCGCGUGCAGGAUGACGGCCCUACGGGUUGUAAACUUCUUUUAUACGGGAAUAACGCGCCUUACGUGUAGGGCUAUGCAUGUACCCUAUGAAUAAGGACCGGCUAAUUCCGUGCCAGCAGCCGCGGUAAUACGGAAGGUGCGGGCGUUAUCCGGAUUUAUUGGGUUUAAAGGGUGCGUAGGCCGCAUGUCAAGAGAGCGGUAAAAUGGCGGGGCUCAACCCCGUACUGGCGGUGCAAAUGGCAGUCGUGAGUGCGCGGGAAGUAUGCGGAAUGCGUGGUGUAGCGGUGAAAUGCAUAGAUA
rnacentral:rRNA from 1 species